rnacentral:misc_RNA from 1 species
GUGAAUCAUCGAAUCUUUGAACGCACCUUGCGCUCUUUGGUAUUCCGAAGAGCAUGCCUGUUUGAGUGUCAUGAAACUCUCAACUCCCAACUUUCUUAAUAGUCGGUUGGGAGCUUGGACUUGAGCGUUGCUGGUCUUUAUUGACCGGCUCGCUUGAAAUGAAUUAGCAGAUCCUUUUUGUAAUCGGUUCCACUCGACGUGAUAAGUAUUUCGCCGAGGACAUCUUAACGGAUGGCCGAGAUAAAGAAAGUCUUAGAUCCGCUUCUAAUUCUUAGCUAGAGCUUGCUCUACUAAACCCCU